CCCAAGUAAUCUGCGACAUGAGAAGUGAGAUAAGUGGGCUAGCCCACGGACGCCACAUAACCCACUUAUCCUAGUUCCCCUCUUCCUUCCUCGUUCCUCUUCGCUUUGCCAGGGAUGCUAGGGUACGCCGCCGCAUAGCGCCGCCGUCCGCCUUCCCUUGGCCGGCCUAGGACAGCCAUCCACCCAUUCCAUGGACGCCACAGCGCCGCCAUCCAUCAUCUCAAUGGACGCUGCAGCGCCGUCUUCCACCUCCAUCAUCGCCACACCAGCGCCGCCGUUCACUUCCCCCACGGCUGCACCAGCGACGCCGUCCAACUCCCCCACGGCCGGACCAGCGCAGUCGUCCGUAUCCUCCAUGCCCGCCCCAACGCCGCCGUCAACCUCCACCAUGGCCAUCACCACAUAGGUUAAGAAGAAAAGAGAGCCUGUGCUAGGCUUGUACUUUGAGUUGAAGAAGCAAGUGUUCACCCCUUGGUCUUUGCACUGCUGCUGGAGUUGUGAUGAUGAUCCUUCAGGGUGGAUUCUCUGACUUUCAGUUCUUAUAGAAUUAUUUUGAAUGGUUGAGUAAGAGGUGCGCAUUUGAUAUGGAAACUAACACUGUGAAGAUGAUUUGAUCUGCAGAAUUUUCUUCUCUUUGUUUUCUUGGUUUAAUAAAUCAUGGCGUCUUUCACUAUUUCUUUCAGUAGUAGGUCGCGGAUUACAGAUUAUUGUUUCUCUUGAUCAGCAUCUGAAUAAAGGCUGUCCUUACUAAUUGUAUUCUACUUGUCAACUUUGUUGCCCAAAUACUUAAAUGUUAGCUUAAGUGAUGGAACAAAGAAUUCUUGUUGCUGGUAUGAACUCUGAACAUGCAAAUGCUGUCUAUGAUGAUCUGAUUCAUGUGAAUUUUCUAGUCCAUAAUGGUCAUCAAAUAGUAGCAUCCAACUGCUAGCUCUAGCUUGUCAAUGACAUUGUAUUCUGUUUUUUGUUAUUAGCGUAUCCUCGGUUGUCAACCAGCACCGACGGUUGAGUUGAAGACCACCUUCAAGUUCUAAUGGACCUUCAGACUGUUUAAUCUUGACAAGAAAUAUGAGCUGCUAAUUCUUGAAGAAAAGGUGUAGCCUAUGUACUGCAAUUGAACAUCUUGAAUAAAUGACAAAAGUUCAUCUAGGCUGUAGUCUAUGUACUGCAAUUGAUGUAUUGAUACAGAUGGAAGCAGAGUAUGUUAUGUGUUGCUUAUAACUAAGUUAUGUGCUGUUAUUGCCUCUGUACAUGUGCGAUUAUGUGUUGUCAUUGCCUAUGAACAUGUGGGAUCACGUAUUGUUAUUGCCUCUGGAUAUA